AUACGUAGGGUGCGAGCGUUGUCCGGAAUUACUGGGCGUAAAGAGCUCGUAGGUGGUUUGUCGCGUCGUCUGUGAAAUUCCGGGGCUUAACUCCGGGCGUGCAGGCGAUACGGGCAUAACUUGAGUACUGUAGGGGAGACUGGAAUUCCUGGUGUAGCGGUGAAAUGCGCAGAUAUCAGGAGGAACACCGGUGGCGAAGGCGGGUCUCUGGGCAGUAACUGACGCUGAGGAGCGAAAGCAUGGGUAGCGAACAGGAUUAGAUACCCUGGUAGUCCAUGCCGUAAACGGUGGGCGCUAGGUGUAGGGGUCUUCCACGACUUCUGUGCCGUAGCUAAUGCAUUAAGCGCCCCGCCUGGGGAGUACGGCCGCAAGGCUAAAACUCAAAGGAAUUGACGGGG
rnacentral:rRNA from 1 species